UUCAAUCACUACUGUAAGUCGCUCUGGAUAAGAGUGUCUGCUAAAUGACUAAAG
rfam:Salmo salar isolate Sally breed double haploid chromosome ssa25, whole genome shotgun sequence.